rnacentral:rRNA from 1 species
CCUACGGGAGGCUGCAGUCGAGAAUCAUUCACAAUGGGGGAAACCCUGAUGGUGCGACGCCGCGUGGGGGAAUGAAGGUCUUCGGAUUGUAAACCCCUGUCAUGUGGGAGCAAAUUAAAAAGAUAGUACCACAAGAGGAAGAGACGGCUAACUCUGUGCCAGCAGCCGCGGUAAUACAGAGGUCUCAAGCGUUGUUCGGAACCACUGGGCGUACAGCGUGCGUAGGCUGUUUCGUAAGUCGUGUGUGAAAGGCGCGGGCUCAACCCGCGGACGGCACAUGAUACUGCGAGACUAGAGUAAGGGAGGGGGACCCGGAAUGCUCGGUGUAGAGGUGAAAGGCGUAGAUAUCGAGAAGAACACGCGGGGCGAAGGCGGGUUCCUGGACAUUAACGGACGCUGAGGCACGAAGGCCAGGGGAGCGAAAGGGAUUAGAUACCCGGGUAGUC